CACUCCUACGGGAGGCAGCAGUGGGGAAUUUUGGACAAUGGGCGAAAGCCUGAUCCAGCAAUGCCGCGUGAGUGAAGAAGGCCUUCGGGUUGUAAAGCUCUUUUGUCAGGGAAGAAACGGUGAAAGCUAAUAUCUUUUGCUAAUGACGGUACCUGAAGAAUAAGCACCGGCUAACUACGUGCCAGCAGCCGCGGUAAUACGUAGGGUGCAAGCGUUAAUCGGAAUUACUGGGCGUAAAGCGUGCGCAGGCGGUUUUGUAAGUCUGAUGUGAAAUCCCCGGGCUCAACCUGGGAAUUGCAUUGGAGACUGCAAGGCUAGAAUCUGGCAGAGGGGGGUAGAAUUCCACGUGUAGCAGUGAAAUGCGUAGAUAUGUGGAGGAACACCGAUGGCGAAGGCAGCCCCCUGGGUCAAGAUUGACGCUCAUGCACGAAAGCGUGGGGAGCAAACAGGAUUAGAUACCCCAGUAGUCCC
rnacentral:rRNA from 1 species